rnacentral:rRNA from 1 species
GACGAACGCUGGCGGCGUGCUUAACACAUGCAAGUCGAACGGAAAGGCCCUGCUUUUGUGGGGUGCUCGAGUGGCGAACGGGUGAGUAACACGUGAGUAACCUGCCCUUGACUUUGGGAUAACUUCAGGAAACUGGGGCUAAUACCGGAUAGGAGCUCCUGCUGCAUGGUGGGGGUUGGAAAGUUUCGGCGGUUGGGGAUGGACUCGCGGCUUAUCAGCUUGUUGGUGGGGUAGUGGCUUACCAAGGCUUUGACGGGUAGCCGGCCUGAGAGGGUGACCGGCCACAUUGGGACUGAGGUACGGACCAGAAUCCUACGGGCGGCAGCAGUGGGGAAUAUUGCACAAUGGGCGGAAGCCUGAUGCAGCAACGCCGCGUGCGGGAUGACGGCCUUCGGGUUGUAAACCGCUUUCGCAUGUGACGAAGCGUGAGUGACGGUAAUGGGUAAAGAAGCACCGGCUAACUACGUG